CUUUGUGAAUUCUGCCCCUGUGGGAAUCUCUGUGAUCUGCCUUAGUGGGAAUUCUGUGGGAAUCUGUGUAAUCUAUGCCUGUGGGAAUCUUUGUGAAUUCUGCCCCUGUGGGAAUCUAUGAUAUCUGNCCCUUUGGGAAUCUCUGUGAUCUGCCCCUGUGSAAACCUGUGUGAUCANNCCCUGUGGGGACCUGUGUGAUCUGCCACUGUGGGAAUUUUUAGUGAUCUGCCUUAGUGGGAAUUAUGUGGGAAUCUGUGUGAUCUGCRCCUGUGGGAAUCUUUGUGAAUUCUGCCCCUGUGGGAAUCUGUGUGAUCUKCGUCUGUGGGAAUCUGUGUGAUCUGCGCCUGUGGGAAUCUUUGUGAAUUCUGCCCCUGUGGGAAUCUNCGUGAUCUSNGUCUGUGGGAAUCUGUGUGAUCUGCGCCUGUGGGAAUCUUUGUGAAUUCUGCCCCUGUGGGAAUCUGUGUGAUCUGCCCCUGUGGGAAUCUUUGUGAUCUGAGCCUGUGGGAAUCUGUGUGAUCUGCGCCUGUUGGAAUCUUUGU
rnacentral:sRNA from 1 species